rnacentral:lncRNA from 1 species
CCCUUGGGAGUCAUCGUACGUGAGUCUCCACUUCCUGUGCCAUGAGUGCUUUGCUUUUCAUGCUGCUGGCUUUAUUCACUCAGGGACUCAGAGGGGACGCGCCCUCCAGGCGGUGGGUCUCUGGAGCACAGGCAGGCUGCUGUCAUCGCGCGACAUGGAGACGGGACCUGAGCGCUGUCCAAGCUGCUGGGCAUCACAGUCAGAAAGGACAGUUCUCACCAGUGCAGCAGCAGAACAGCUUAGCUCUUGGAAGUGCUGUCUGCAAGCCAAGAUGCUCUGAAUCUCUUGAGGACAGUCAGCAGCCGCGAUCACCACCCGCGCGGGUUUGCAAGUGACCGAGUCUGCCUCCUAAGCACUCUGGAACAGCUCGCAAAACCUGGCUCUCCGUGCUCAACAUCAGCAUUUUUUGUGUUACUGGGACCCGAGCCCGGGACCUUCAUUUGUGCUAAGCACAUCCCCAGCCCUUUCUUAUUUUUUAUUUUGAGGCAAGUUCUCAGCAAGUCACUAAAUUGCCCAGGCUGGACUCAAAUUCGAAAUCCUCCUGCCUCACCCUCCCAGAGUGCUGGGAUUACCUCUGUGCACCACCAUGCCCUACAACAUCAUUAAUUCUUGAGACACUUUCCUGCUGGGGACACCCAGCCCCGUCCCGCCCCUCCACCCUCAGGAUGGAAUUAGCAUGUUUGGAGACUCCAGACCCUGAAUUUGCGGAUGUUCCAGCUCUGGUCCCCGCCCAUCCCUACACAAUUCACCACAAAAUGGAAUUUUUCAACCUCAAACAAAACUUAGACUGGAACUAGAAUUAAAUUAAAAUGUCCCUUCCCGCCCUCUGUCUCUGGCUCUUGAUUACAAAUUUCUGCAUGAAUUCACCCAAAGUAGUUCCCUCUCUAUCUCCUCAUGUAUUUCCGUGUGUGUACAUUAGUGUGUCUGCCUGGGUGCUGGGUGACUCUGGAUGUGGCAGUGUGUGAGUGUGUGUCCCACUGUGCUGGGCCCCUGUGUCUGUGUCCCCUCCUUUCUGCUGCUCUCCCCCAGAGCUUCUCCCUCUGUGGAAGGCCCCGGACAAAACCUGUGUCCCCAGCAAAAGCAAAUUUGGGGACUGUGUCAGUCGGCUUUCCCACCGCUGGAACAAAUGACCCGGUACUCACACCUUAAAGGAAGAGAGGGUUACCUGGCUCACGGUUUCAGGGGAUUCAGUCCCUGGUGCCGUCUCCAAGGAAGAAAAGUAUGGUGAAGGGAGUAGCAGAGCAAAGCUGCUUCGCUCAUGGCAGCCAGGAAGCAGAGCAGGGAAUAGUGCCAGAGGGGAAGGCGUGAGGGACCAGAUGUAGUCCCGAAGGUCACACCUCCAU